CCUACGGGAGGCAGCAGUGAGGAAUAUUGGUCAAUGGACGCUAGUCUGAACCAGCCAUGCCGCGUGCAGGAAGACGGCCCUAUGAGUUGUAAACUGCUUUUGUAUGAGGGUAAACUCCGAUAUGCAUAUCUGUCUGAAAGUAUCUUACGAAUAAGGAUCGGCUAACUCCGUGCCAGCAGCCGCGGUAAUACGGAGGAUUCAAGCGUUAUCCGGAUUUAUUGGGUUUAAAGGGUGCGUAGGCGGUCGGAUAAGUCAGAGGUGAAAUCCCGAGGCUCAACUUCGGAAUUGCCUCUGAUACUGGUAGGCUAGAGAGUAGUAGCGGUAGGCGGAAUGUAUGGUGUAGCGGUGAAAUGCUUAGAGAUCAUACAGAACACCGAUUGCGAAGGCAGCUUACCAAGCUACUUCUGACGUUGAGGCACGAAAGCGUGGGGAGCAAACAGGAUUAGAUACCCCAGUAGUC
rnacentral:rRNA from 1 species